rnacentral:tRNA from 1 species
UGAUAAUUAGUUUAAUCAAAACAAAUGAUUUCGACUCAUUAAACUACAGCUAAUUCUGUAAUUAUCAA